GACGAAGGAUGCAAGCGUUAUCCGGAUUCAUUGGGUUUAAAGGGUGCGUAGGCGGCCUAAUAAGUCAGUGGUGAAAUCUCCUCGCUUAACGAGGAAACUGCCAUUGAUACUGUUGGGCUUGAGUACAGAUGCUGUGGGCGGAAUAUGACAUGUAGUGGUGAAAUACAUAGAGAUGUCAUAGAACACCGAUUGCGAAGGCAGCUCACAAAAACUGGUAACUGACGCUGAGGCACGAAAGUGCGGGGAUCAAACAGG
rnacentral:rRNA from 1 species